rnacentral:rRNA from 1 species
CACAAGGGGUGAAGCCUGCGGUUCAAUUGGAGUCAACGCCAGAAAUCUUACCCGGAGAGACAGCAGAAUGAAGGUCAAGCUGAAGACUUUACCAGACAAGCUGAGAGGUGGUGCAUGGCCGUCGCCAGCUCGUGCCGUGAGAUGUCCUGUUAAGUCAGGUAACGAGCGAGAUCCCUGCCACUAGUUGCUAUCAUUAUUCUCAGGAAUAGUGGGGCGAAUUAGUGGGACUGCCGUUGUUAAAACAGAGGAAGGAAGGGGCUACGGCAGGUCAGUAUGCCCCGAAACUCUGGGGCCACACGCGGGCUGCAAUGGUAGCGACAAUGAGUUCCAAACUCGAAAGAGAGUGGCAAUCCCUAAACGCUACCACAGUUAUGACUGAGGGCUGUAACUCGCCCUCACGAAUAUGGAAUCCCUAGUAACCGCGUGUCAUUACCGCGCGGUGAAUACGUCCCUGCUCCUUGCACACACCGCCCGUCGUUUCAUCGAAGUUUGCUUUUAGCGAGGUGAUGUUUAAUUGGCAUUAUCGAACUUGAGGUAAGCGACGAGGGAAAAGUCGUAACAAGGUGACCGUAGGGGAACCUGCGGUCGGAUCACCUCCUU